UCAAUUUUCUUUUUCUCGAUUUUCUCUGUCGUACGAAUUUUUUCUCGUCUUCGCUGGAAAUUUUCUGGGGUAUUUUCCGUUUCUCUGUCCUACUUUUUUUUUUCCAUUUUCCACUCGGCGGUCUUGCGAACUACGCAAGUUUUCUUAGUUGCUACUAUUUCGUUACCUUUUUUUUUUGACAUUUUGAUCGAAAGCUUUUUCUCGAGAUUAACGCUCUCUCCUUUUUUUUUUUUUUUUUUUCCAUUUUAUACCAAUUUAAUGUUGUAUUUCGUGAAACGCAAACUAUUUUCUGGUUGGUGGAUUUGUUCGAAAUGGGAAGACUAUUUGUGAUAGACCUCGAAGGACUGGUUUAUAGCUGCAAGCAUUGUCAGACACAUUUCGCAGUUACUAAUGACAUUAUCUCAAAGUCAUUUCACUGCAAGCACGGAAGGGCUUAUCUUUUCGACAAUGUUGUCAAUGUGACGGUUGGAGAGAAGGAGCAUCGCGUCAUGCUGACUGGUUGGCACACCGUAGCUGACAUCUUCUGUGUUAGCUGUGGCUCUCUUGUUGGCUGGAAAUACGAAAUCGCUUACGACAAGUCUCAGAAGUACAAGGAAGGAAAAUUCAUCAUAGAAAGGUUUAAGGUGCUUGGGCCCGAUGGAGGAGGAUACGACAUGAACCACGACGAGCCUAUGACUGGAAGCGAUGAAGAAUAAAAAUAUGGUAUAUCUCUUAUUUUAACGACCCAUUGGAAAUACUUGGCAAGUGGUCAAUGCUUCGUAUAGACUAUCGGCUACCGGCAAACUCGCCGGGAAGAAAAAUCAACAUUUUUUCGGCUUUAACCACAUAACUUUCAGCAACCAUAAAUCUUUUGGAGCCAUAAGAGCACAAGUAGUGUUUUCGUAAUUACUAAAUAGCAUGUUCGUGGGUAAAGACUGAGCACGUGUCCGGUGGGAUCUUUGUUUAGAUCAUCUGCGUUUUGAACCCGAUGCUUCGUGUUCUGUUCAAACUUUCAAAACCCCAUAUUCAAUUAUUUAAGAGGAAAAAAACAAGAGAUAUGGUACGACCAAGGGUUGUCUGGUUUGAAUUCGGAAUUUUAAAAAAUUGAACUAAUUAUAUAAAAAAAAAAA